AAAGAAGACAAGUCACCAUUUCAGUGGAUAUUCUGUCUUAUUAAACUUUACAGAAAUUGCUGAAAAAAGGGGCACACACUGUGGAAACUUUUCCUCUUGCACUCAACAGGACAGAUGCAAGAAUUUAUACCGCAUGAGAAAAGGGUGCUGAUGGGGUGUCUGAUUGGUCGAGGCAUUGCCAAGAUGCCACAUGAUGCUGGAGCUGAUGGCUGAUUGAUUUUAUGUGGGAUCUGGAAGAAUGCUAUAUCACACUUACCACGUCAGACAGAAAAGUGAAUCGAUUUUUGUGAAGUAGGAUCUCAUAUAGGAUUUUGAUUUAAGUAUUACCAGGUUAAUUUUGACAGAUAAUUAAAAGAAUAUUAUACAAUCUA